GAAGCUGAGGAGUCCAAUAAUAGAACGAAACGGCUGUCCAGUGC
rnacentral:hammerhead_ribozyme from 1 species